CCUACGGGUGGCAGCAGUCGAGAAUCAUUCGCAAUGGGCGCAAGCCUGAUGCUGCAACGCCGCGUGAAGGAAUAAGGGUCUUCGGAUUUUAAACCCCUGUCAUGUGGACGCAAAUUAAGACGGUACUACCACAAGAAGCAGAGACUGCUAACUCGGUACCAGCCGCCGCAGUAAUACGGUGGUAUCAAUCGUUUGUCGGAAUCACUGGGCGUAAAGCGGGUGUAGGCUGGUCUGGAAGUCGGUUGUGAAAAGCGCGGGCACAACCCGCGGACGGCAAAUGAUACUGCUAGACUAGAGUAAUGGAGGGGCAAGCGGAAUUCUGGGUGUAGCAGUGAAAUGCGUAGAUAUAGAGAGGAACACCAGUGGCGAAGGCGGGUUCCUGGACAUUAACUGACGCUGAGGCACGAAGGCCAGGGGAGCGAAAGGGAUUAGAUACCCCUGUAGUC
rnacentral:rRNA from 1 species